GAUGAACGCUAGCUACAGGCUUAACACAUGCAAGUCGAGGGGCAGCAUGAUUGAAGCUUGCUUCAAUUGAUGGCGACCGGCGCACGGGUGAGUAACACGUAUCCAACCUUCCGUACACUCAGGGAUAGCCUUUCGAAAGAAAGAUUAAUACCUGAUGGUAUCUUAAGCACACAUGUAAUUAAGAUUAAAGAUUUAUCGGUGUACGAUGGGGAUGCGUUCCAUUAGGUAGUAGGCGGGGUAACGGCCCACCUAGCCUACGAUGGAUAGGGGUUCUGAGAGGAAGGUCCCCCACAUUGGAACUGAGACACGGUCCAAACUCCUACGGGAGGCAGCAGUGAGGAAUAUUGGUCAAUGGACGAGAGUCUGAACCAGCCAAGUAGCGUGAAGGAUGAAGGUCCUACGGAUUGUAAACUUCUUUUAUAAGGGAAUAAAACCUCCCACGUGUGGGAGCUUGUAUGUACCUUAUGAAUAAGCAUCGGCUAACUCCGUGCCAGCAGCCG
rnacentral:rRNA from 1 species